GGUUAAGCGACUAAGCGUACACGGUGGAUGCCCUGGCAGUCAGAGGCGAUGAAGGACGUGCUAAUCUGCGAUAAGCGUCGGUAAGGUGAUAUGAACCGUUAUAACCGGCGAUUUCCGAAUGGGGAAACCCAGUGUGUUUCGACACACUAUCAUUAACUGAAUCCAUAGGUUAAUGAGGCGAACCGGGGGAACUGAAACAUCUAAGUACCCCGAGGAAAAGAAAUCAACCGAGAUUCCCCCAGUAGCGGCGAGCGAACGGGGAGCAGCCCAGAGCCUGAAUCAGUGUGUGUGUUAGUGGAAGCGUCUGGAAAGGCGCGCGAUACAGGGUGACAGCCCCGUACACAAAAAUGCACAUGCUGUGAGCUCGAUGAGUAGGGCGGGACACGUGGUAUCCUGUCUGAAUAUGGGGGGACCAUCCUCCAAGGCUAAAUACUCCUGACUGACCGAUAGUGAACCAGUACCGUGAGGGAAAGG
rnacentral:rRNA from 1 species